AUGGACGCCUCAGCCACCAUCACCACAGGGAAGACGAAGAAGGGCGCGGCUGGGUGCAAGGCGGGCGGCCCCAGGAGGAAGUCCGUGUCGCGGUCCGUCAAGGCCGGGCUCCAGUUCCCCGUCAGCCGCAUCGGGCGCUACCUCAAGAAGGGCCGCUACGCCCAGCGCGUCGGCACCGGCGCCCCUGUCUACCUCGCGUCCGUCCUCGAGUACCUCGCCGCCGAGCUGCUGGAGCUCGCGGGCAACGCCGCCAAGGACAACAAGAAGAGCCGCAUCAUCAUCCCCCGCCACCUGCUGCUCGCCGUCAGGAACGACGAGGAGCUCGGCAAGCUGCUCGCCGGCGUCACCAUUGCGCAUGGCGGCGUGGUCCCCAAGAUCAACCCGGUGCUGCUCCCCAAGAAGAUGGUCGAGAAGGCAACCAAGGAGCCCAAGUCGCCGAAGAAGACCGCCAAGUCCCCCAAGAAGGCGUAG
rnacentral:rRNA from 1 species